CAGAGGGUGCGAGCGUUAAUCGGAAUUACUGGGCGUAAAGCGCGCGUAGGCGGCUUUUCAAGCCGAUUGUGAAAUCCCCGGGCUUAACCUGGGAACUGCAGUCGGGACUGUCUGGCUAGAGUAUGGGAGAGGGAAGUGGAAUUUCAGGUGUAGCGGUGAAAUGCGUAGAUAUCUGAAGGAACAUCAGUGGCGAAAGCGACUUCCUGGACCAAUACUGACGCUCAUGUGCGAAAGCGUGGGGAGCAAACAGGAUUAGAUACCCUGGUAGUCCACGCCAUAAACGAUGAGAACUGGAUGUCGGGAGGGUCUGCCUCUCGGUGUCGUAGCUAACGCGUUAAGUUCUCCGCCUGGGGAGUACGGCCGCAAGGUUG
rnacentral:rRNA from 1 species